CCACCACACAGGGCAGAGCAGCCUUCCGUGUGCAUGUAUCGUGGAGAAAUGAGCAGGGGAGACUUCAACAUCAGAGCCCCUCAAGUUCCAGCAAACCCGCAGUUCUUGUCCUUGAGCCAGAGAUGUGCCAGACCCAGAGCACCACCUGGUGAACAGAAUCAACUUAUGGAUCCCAUAUUCCCUAAUGAAGAAAGUCAGCAAGUAAUACAUGGGACACCAGGUUGUGCACAGUGUCAGAUGUUACAGAAGGAAAUAGAUGAACUCAAGGAACAACUCGCGGUCAUGCAGGCCCUCAGUGAAACGUUCCAGGAUCCUUGAAGUUGGACUCAGAGUUUCUCCCCACAGAAGAGGCCAAACUACCACCUGUGGAUCCUGCUUCCUUCCAGUUUUCUUCGACAGCAGUGGUUCCCACCUUCCUAAUGCUAUGGCCUGUUCAUGGGCUUCAUUGUGUGAUGUUAACCCUCUACCAUAAAGCUAUUUCAUUGUUACUUCAC
rnacentral:lncRNA from 1 species